GUGGUGGUGCCUUCUGGAAAGGAGCAGAGAUACACGUGCCAUGUGCAGCAUGAGGGACUGCUGGAGCCCCAAGUCCUGAGAUGGGGGAGACAAGGAGGAAGCUACACUCAGGCUCUAGGCAACAACAGUGCCCAGGGCUCUGAUGUGUCUCUCAGCCCCUAAAGCAUCUUUUAAAUGAAUGUGAUGAGGGCCCUCCACGGUGGCGCAGUGGGUUGAACGCAGUGCUGUGAAGCUGUCCGCAGCCUCCGCAGUGCAGGUUCGAUUCCCGGCCAGCCAGGAAGACUCCCACUUGGCAGGGCAGACAUCUCCUCUCUCGCCCGCUGCUUCCCUCAGCAGUGCUUUCAGUCUGUCUGUCUGUUCUGCUCCCCACUCUGGUGAAUCCUGAUUCACCAGUGAAUCAGGUCUCUGGUGAACCCUUUCACUCUCCCGCGACUUGGGCCUGUACCCCAGCUCUUAUAUAAAUAAAAAAUUUAAAAAAAUGAAUGUAAUGAGGCUUCUGUUGUUCACACCCUGGACAGCACCUGGUAUUGUGCAGAGUUUGCAUUUUCAGUCUCUCCUAGGUGUGAUGGUGUCACUGUUCUUAACUGUGAUAGUGAGCAUUUGUUCAUAUUUUCACUUUUCUAUGAAUACAGUUGCCGUUUGUAUAGAAGUUUUGUACAUUUUUACAGAUGAGGUGCCAUUCAUUUAUUACACUAUUUUUGUCCUUAUUAAAAUUGGGUUAUUUCUUUCUGAUCAUUGAGUUUUCGGCAUUAUUUGUAGAUACAGUCCUUUGUCAGAUUCGUGAUUUGCAAAUGU